AACCUCCGUGGCUGGGGGCGGAGCGGCGGGUCCAUGCGGGGCUUCGGCGGGGGCGUGCACAAGUCCCCGCCGGUCCUCGUCCGGCGGGCGUCG
rnacentral:tRNA from 2 species